rnacentral:misc_RNA from 1 species
GAUGAAGAACGCAGCGAAAUGCGAUAAGUAAUGUGAAUUGCAGAAUUCAGUGAAUCAUCGAAUCUUUGAACGCACAUUGCGCCCCUUGGUAUUCCGAGGGGCAUGCCUGUUCGAGCGUCAUUAUAACCCCACAAGCUCAGCUUGGUGUUGGGGCCUGCUGCACUGGCAGCCCUUAAAAUCAGUGGCGGCGCCAUCUGGCUCUAAGCGUAGUAAUUCUUCUCGCUAUGGAGUCCUGGUGGAUGCUUGCCAUCAACCCCCAAUUUUUCUAUGGUUGACCUCGGAUCAGGUAGGGAUACCCGCUGAACUUAAGCAUAUCAUAAGCGGAGGA